UGGGGAAUGGUGUAACGGUAGCACAGCGGCCUUUGGAGCCGUUAGUGGAGGUUCGAGUCCUCCUUCCCCAG
rnacentral:tRNA from 3 species